UCAACCCAUUUAACCAUCUAACCCAUCAAAUUAAAUGAGUUCAUGGGUUGGCUCAACUCAUUUGAGUUGAGUCAACCCAUGAACUCAUUUAACUUCAAACUCAUUGUGUAAUGAGU
rnacentral:pre_miRNA from 1 species